AACCCCAAGGGCAGGAUUUUAAAUUCCUCCUUUCACAAAUGAGGAAACCAAGGCUUAGAGAGAUUACAUGACACAGCUGAGACUGAAUUUCCAGUGUCUUGUUCUCCGUAGAGUGUCCUGUUGCCAUUCCAGCCUGGUGAUUCGGCUGUGGGAGGAGAGUCCAAACAAAACAGAGGAUAGAUCUUGGCCGCAUGGACAUGAUUCCCUGACACUCUCAUGUUAUGAAUUUCCUGAGGCCUCUCAUGUUAUGACUUCUGUGUGCUUAACCAAUACCCUAAGCAUCAAUUAUUUUGGAGUAAAACGAAAUAAAACCAAACACAUAAAAUCACUUUUCCCAGGAAGUGUUUGUGGUAUGAAGUUCUCUGGAAUGUUCCUCCCAUGUCAUGCCUCCUUUUUUUGCCCUGCUCUUGAUUCGCAUUGGAUGGAGGUGGUUAAUAUCCUGGAGCCUGGUGAAGUGCCAAAGAGCAUUUCUCGAAGAAACCUGAGCAAAGUGAUGUGAAUGUUUGACAGCUUUUCUUUCACGUGUAUGAAGACCUGAAUGCUCCUGGAAGCCACUUUCCUAAGCCCUCUCCAGGUUUUGCCAUGCAGGUCCAUGUCCAUAUGGAAACCGGCUUCCUGAAACAUGAAUUGAGGAAUUGUCCAGUAGAGAGAUUCAGAAGGGCAAGAGAAGACAGUGCCCUGAGAUGUUGAACUGAUUCGAGAGCUUCCAGACAGUCAAGAGAUGAUGUGGCAGGAUGACGUCCUCAGCUCCUGCCUGCUUGUGCGAAGGGACCAUCCACGGGAUGCGAUCGAGGGGCAAGCAUGUUCCCUCUCCCUCCUUCUGCUGUCAGUGAAUGCAACCGUGCCUGAGUAUCGUCUCCCGCGAUAGUCCUUGUCCCAUUAAGGUGUCUUCAAAUGUCAAAGACAACAAGAGACAUUAGUGUCUCCUGGCAUCUCAGCUGAGGAUUCCCCACUUUAGAUUUCAAUGCAGUGGGACCUGACUCUCUCCAACCCCUCAGUGACUCUUCAGGCAAGAACAAUGUAGUACCGGGAAGAGCAAAGCCCUCCGCAGGCCAGAUCCAUGAGGAAAUACCAAUGCUGUCCAUCAUCCGGGGCCUCUCCCUGCUCACCUGCAAAGGCUGCAACCAAGAGUCCUCAGUUGGCUACAAGUAGAAUUGGGAUCAAGAAAAGUAAAUGAACAACCCCAAAGAAAACGACUUAAGGAUGUGAAUAAAUAAUUCAUGAAGGAAAUGUGUUUCUGGCUCUCAGCAGUUUCCAGCACCCAAUAGCAGCAAAAUCCAGAAGGAUGAAGAAAUCUCAGGGGUAUUCAGAUAGCAAUGACUACAAACGCUCAAGACAGCAGAAAACUGAGGACAGCAGUCUCUACUCUUCACCGUGUGCAAAGGGACUGACCCAUGAACAGCUUUAAGAGCACUGACCUUGCAAAUGUAAAUCCAUACAUUAGUUGCAGUCAUUCUUCUUCAAGUGGACAUCCUGCCCUCGCCGUCAGUGUACACCUGGGAGUAUCCUCUGCACAACCUUUCAGUUGACUCGGUUCAGAGAAUAAACAAGCCAGCCCAGCCUCAGGCAACGGUCUACACCCAUCUAUUCUCUCCUUUGAUCAGUUUAUACAGCCCAUUGAAUUUUGGAGAAACAGAAGCCCAGGAUUGAGAGAUUUAUUCCAGAUCACACAGCCAGUGACUGGGGAUGUAUUUCAUGCUGGAGUUCAUAUUCUAUCCAUGGUCCAUGCUGCCUCUCCUGCCGUGAUGAGGAUGAGAGCGUUGUAUUCAGUCCUGGGCUCACAUCUAUUUCUACACUGCUUGGAAAAGCUAAUUAGCAUACAUGAACUUCAGUUUGCUAUCUAGAAAUUAGGGAUGGUAAUACUUCUACAGUGGAGUAGUUGUGAGGAAGGAGAUGGCAGAGGCCACAUGCCCUUAGUGUGAUAUCUGAAAUAGAGUUAGGACCCAAUAAA